ACUGGUAUAGUGUAAUUUGUGCAAGAUAGUAGCUACUAUAUGCCGUUUAGUUUAUACCUAAUCAUAGAGAGCUGCAAUCUUUGCUGAAUUUUUGUUUUCACCUUAAAAUCAGCAUCCAAAUCAGACGCAAGCAGCCAGGUGAGGAGAGUUAACGGUGUAAUUACCUGCUCUAAUUGAGUAAUCAAGUACAGAGUAACAACGAGAACCAGUAGAACCUGCAGCUCCGCGGGACCAGGGCUGCAGACGCCUUGGGUACAGCUGGUACAAAAGAGCCGCAGGGUGUGCUGGGGUCCUCACUCCUGGUCCUGGAGAGCCACAAGGUGUGCUGGGGUCCUCGCACCUGGUCCUGGAGAGCCGCAGGGUGUGCUGGGGUCCUCACUCCUCGUCCUGGAGAGCCGCAAGGGGUGCUGGUUUUUGACUUAAUAUCAGCAGCCAAUUCAGACCCAAGAAACCAGGUGAGACCACACUGAGGGCAAAAAGCCCCUAAAACCAGCAGGAGCUGAAGAGGGCUGAGCCUGGCAGUGGAUCGCUAGGGAAGAUGCCCAUCAUGCCUCUGUUGAUGUCAAAGACUUCAGAAGGGUCAAAGACAUCAGAAAGGUCAAAGACUUCAGAAGAUUUUCAAGCCAAGUAGGCUGCUAAAUAUCACUUUAUUCAGUUGAUGUUUUUUUUUUUUUGUCCAAUGAAUUUUUCUCCCCUUAAAUGGGGGGGAUGAGGGUGUAAUUCCUGAACAGAUAACCCGAUAUGGUUUAUAAACACUCGUAUCAAAGCUCCGUCUGCACGUUAACUUCGGAUUUGAAAUGAAAUGACGAAUACAUUCUGCUGGAGU